GACAACCGAGUGAACAAUCUGCAGCAUGUCAUCCUAUGUGUGAAAAUAAUUCUACGUUAUUCUUCUUGUCUUUACACGUAGAAUAACUUCCUCGUUACUAUCUUUCCUGUUCAAUUAAGAGUUAGCCUCGCGUAUAUUCGUACUCGAUAGAAAGCUCGAUCUUCUCGAAAACGAAGCAUCGUAUUUAAAAGUCUUACUCCAUAUUUCCAACAUAAUCUUUCACAUAAAAUCACCACCUUACCUAUGGCGCUACGAUUAUCGAAAUCGUAUACCUUGUGUUCUGAUGGAACGAAUGAAGAACUGACGAAAAGAUUCUGCAAGAUACGCUAACAGCGUAACGCUGAAGUUUCGUUGCUAAUUUUCGAAGACCGAGAAGCGCGAGCGAUCAAAUACCGGAAGGCAAGCGAAGUACGACCGCCGAAUCAGGAAUACUUAAAAUUCUCCAGGGAGAUACCAUGACUCAUUAACUUUUUAAUGCCCGUCCGUAUCAUCGAUUCCCGACGCCGCUUCGCGCCGAACCGCUUCUCUUUCUCUCGUUUGCCUCGGCUCUCUGUCUGUCUCAUCUUCUCAAACCCACCGGAGACCCUCUUUUCAUCGAAUCUACGUGUCUUCGAGGCUCUGCCAACUGGAACUUAUGAGUCUGGUCGAUUUAUCUUGACAAUAUUCCGCUCGUGAUUCGAAACUUGCGUGUCCGAUUAAUACUCGAACUGCUGCGCUGCCUGGUGUCCCGGCUGGGCGAAACGGAGAUAGCCAAGCUGGAAGCGACAAGGACAGCCUGGUUUAUGCUCACUGUCUGCCUUACAACAGGGAGUGGGAGGAGGAACACGCACACACGGCCGCAUAAAUAACGUGGCACAGCCACAGAGUUACGGUGCGACUUACGUGUAAACGAAUAGAGUGAGACGAACAGAUGGGGAACGAGGACAGUCGUACGGGUUGUAAAACAAGAACGACAAAGACGAAAGAGGAUGUAGUCGGCGGACAUUUCCGAAGAGAACCGAGUAUCCCCGACAUGUGGGAGAGCCCCGUAGUACAUAGAGGGGUAUCGGUUUUAUGACGUUCGAUCACCUGAGCGAAGAUUUUUCAAGCACCACGGAGCGAAGAGAGAAUACGAACGAGCGAAAUCGUUUCCCGCUUCGAUAUCCUUCAAUGAAUAAACCGUCCUCCCUGAGCGCAUUCUCGUCAGUUCUUUGAGAAGAGAUCGCGUUUAAGAACUUAUGAAUGUUUUGCUUCCAGAGUUGAUUACAAAUAUAUUUGUUUAAUACAUUCCAUGUUAAUCGCUCGUGUAUAAGGAAUCUGUAAGUUUGAUUAAUUAAUGAAUUAUUUUGAAAAGCGACGAUCACACAACAACGUAAAAGUAGAUUUUGAUAAGCGAUAUGAAAUGAAUGAACAUGAUAGAUAGGAGAGAGAGUGAAGCGUGAGUGUCGUAGAUUAGACGCGGUACACGUGUACGAAAGUUGGCAAAAAGUACGUGGGACCUGGGUGAACAGAAACAGCCCUGGUCGCACAAUACGAGCAUGAAUGAAGUAUCGCGUCUGGCUCGCGGGGUACGGUAUACUCGGGCGAAGCAGGGCGAAGCGAGGGGGGGAUGCAGGCGUCACGGUGCUUUCGUGGCGGUGAGGUUGCCGCAACGUAUGUAUGCACGUUUACGUGUAAACGAUCACGCUCGUGUGAGUGAACGCGCGCAUAUGCAACUUUCGGUAUGAUCGAAUGCGCAUGCGCAUCGUGUGCACCCCACCCACAGACAGACAGGCCGCUGCUCUGCUGUUUGUAACAAGCAGAGAGUCUACAACGCCACACCAGCGUUGAGCGCAGCCGGCCUCGGCUCCAAACGAGACACGAUUAUACUCCUGCUGUGAAAACGAACGGUAUAUACGGUAUUGAGAAAAAAAGAACGGGUGAUACUCGAGUCGGAAAGAGGGAAAGAGGAGAGCAAGAGAAAUCGCGAGUGUACGCGUGCGCAUUAUUAUAUUUCUCUCUUUCUCGUUAAACUAGACCAAACGGCGAGAUUGUUCGCCUAAGAUUUUCCGUGAGAAACAGGAAAAGAGGUUCGUUCGCCUUUCCGCUCGAUAGUCGUUAGUGUGUACAAACACGUCGUUUACAGUCUGUUCGAAUCACAUUUGGAUCGUCGUACGCGAUCGUAUUCACCGGGAGAACUGUAAACGUGUUACACGCUUUAAGUCGAAAGUGGGAGAACGAAGAGAUCCGAUGGAUACACGAAGGCUCGAGGAUCGAUUUGAUCGUCGACCGGUACGGCAAUACGAACGAACGUGAAAAAAGUUGGAAGGAAGAGAGGUUAGAAAAGACGACAAGGAGGGGGGAGAGAUUGCGUCGUGUACGUGAUCACGAAGGCUGGAGGAAUACGUGGUCGAAGCAAAAAGCGAAAAAAGUGCGGAGGAAAGAGAGAAUAAAAGAAGAAGAGAGAGAGCAAAAGGGAAAAGGAGAGAAAAUAGAGAAGGUGUUGAGUGGUGGGCCUGCGGGACGGACAGUACGUGCCUGGGUUGCGCUCACACGAUCUACACUGGCAUGGCCGCCGAGGCCAGCUGAACUUUUUCUUCUCUCUCUUGCACGACGAUCGUUGCUCCCACCCAUUUUAUCCGUCUUUCUUCCUCCCUUCCUUCUUUCCUGUCUUGUUUCUCUCUCUUUCUCCAUCUGUCUUUCUUCCGCUCCCUCGUUCACGCUUCUCCCACUCCUCGUGGCUGUUUCGUCGUUUCGUCUCUUUUUUUCUUCCAUCCAUCCGACUCGUUCCAACUCUCUUUCUCCCCCGUUCUUUGCUUAACGCAAGAGAGGAGGACCGUGCGCCACGAAUACCCAGGCUCCCCGUGUAUGCAUUCGCUUGUGUGUGCGUGCAGUUUGCCAGCCAUCGCGGGGAAAUCGAGCGGAGGCUUGCCAUUCGAGAAAAUCAGUGAACGCAAGCGAACCCUUACGCUGGCUGAUACUUAACCACGGACACACGCGUUACAUUUAUCACCAUCAGUGGUGUACGUAUCGAGAAUUGCGUCGUGCUUAUGUGAUUCCUAAAAAAAUCUCGCUCGAUCGAUCUACACGAUUGAUUUUCUCACAUAGAUCGCGGGAAUUACUGAAACUACGGAACGGUGGAAGUGUGCACGAAAGAAACAAAAUUGUAUCGAUAUCUGACGGUGACAUCGUUUCAAUGCAGAGACCUGUUAAGCUGACUGCAUCGAACGCUGUAUAAUAGAUCUCCUGACUAGAGAGAUAUAAUAGGAGAAAAUCAAUGACAAUUGGAUCUUAGCGAAACGAUCAAAUUCCCCCCAACAGUGUCAGUCAAUUUACGGAAGAACGGGGCAAUUCGAUCGAUUGUGACGCACCUGUCGGCAUCGUCGUCGUCGGGGUGCUGCUGGCAGUGGCAGAGGCAGAGAGUGUGGCAGUGUCUCGUGUGCCGGUAGGAGGAGACGGAAGAAUAACGGAGGGCAGAAUAAAGGGCAGGCAUCCAGCUCGGUGAAGUUUACGCACGAGGACGUACGCGUGAGAGUGAGUGAGUGAGAGAGAGAGAGAGAGAGAGAGAAAAGGAAAAGCACAUACGCUUUAAGGAGGAAAAAGCAACGCUUCGAAGAAGAGGAAAGAAGGAUGCGCGAGAAGGAGAACGUUGGUGAGGAGGUCCUACUCGUUGCUUUUCCACGACGAGCAGCAGUACUGUUGUUCGAGGUGCGAGCCGCGUGACACGAAUGCGAGAGUGCGAGAGAAAGGAGAGGCAGGAACGAGGGCGAGAGAGAGAGAGAGGAAGGAGAUCUACCGAAGAGCGAAGGUAUAUCCGGCCGUGGCAUGUGCGCGCGACAAGGACAGAGCGAAGUGGCUAUUUCUGUGGAGCAUAGGGGGCCGCCCGUAUAAAAUAAGCAGUGAAUGAAGGAGCCUGUUUACUGGCAGACGGCCUACGCGAGAUUCAGUCGUCGGCUCUCUUUCUCUCGCGCUCUCUCUCUCUCGGCCGCGCACGCUAAUCGUCGUUCUCUCGUACCUUCUCUCUCCCUGAUUUUCGCUCUCACUCGACCAGCAGCCGUCCCGUAGCGGAAAGAGAAAGGGAAAAAGAAAGAAAGAAAGAGAGACGGAGAAGAGCGCGCAUCGUUGCCACGAGAGAGAGCCUAUAUGUGUUCCCAGUGCGCGAGAAGAGCCCGCAGUGUAUUCACCGGUCUUGUCCUUCUGUCUCGCCUCGUCUCGACUCGUCUUGCCUCUCCCUCCUCUUACCUCACCACACCUCGUUCUACCUCUCCUCACCUCGCUUCACCUCAUAGCACACCUUAGUACUCGUUCGACUCUCCGCCCUUUGCCUCGCUUUGUCACGGUUUGGCUUCCUCUCCUCGUAUUCUCCUCUACUCUCUCCUCUCCACGUCGUCGUAACCUCGCCUCGCCUCGCCUCGCCUCGCCUCGCCUCGCUUCACCUCAUCUCUCGUCUCGUCUCGUCUCGCUUUGCCUCGUCUCGUCUCCUCUCGGUUUGCCUUACCUCGCAUCAUCUCGUCUCACUUCGUCUCGCCUUGCCACGACUCGACUCGACUCCACUCGGUUCUCUCAUCUCCUCUUCCCCUGCUUGUGUUUUUCUCGACAGAGCUCUUACGCCGGAGCCACCGUGCCGUGUUCACCGCUUUCGUUCCUAACCACGGAAAUCUACCGAUAAUCCGUAGUCUCUACGCGAGUUUCUUGUUCGUCUGUUACGUUUCACUACACUAUGCCAUUACACCUAUAGUAUCCGUACUUUGGAGCAUGUGUUUACGUGUUGUGUCGUGACCAGUGCGAAAGAAGAGAAGUGAGGAGAUAGAAUAUAAGGAGGAAGAGGCAGAUAAGAAGAGCGAACGCGACAUAUCUUCUUUUCGAAAUCUUACGGUGCGCGCAGUCACUGCUGCUCCAUCUUUCUUUCUCGUUCUUGUUUCCCCAUUCGCUUUCCGAACGCAGACCGCGUGUUGUGUGCU